UACAGAGGUCUCAAGCGUUAUUCGGAUUCACUGGGCGUAAAGGGUGCGCAGGCGGCCAAGUGUGUUAGGCGUGAAAGCCCGGAGCUCAACUCCGGAAUUGCACCUAAAACUACAUGGCUAGAGCAUUGGAGAGGGAAGCGGAAUUCACGGUGUAGCAGUGAAAUGCGUAGAUAUCGUGAGGAACACCAGAGGCGAAGGCGGCUUCCUGGACAAUUGCUGACGCUCAGGCACGAAAGCGUGGGGAGCAAAAGGG
rnacentral:rRNA from 1 species